rnacentral:lncRNA from 1 species
UUUUAAGCUAAGUGAGCACAAAAAUGAAAUUUUAUUGCUACAUCCCUAGCUCUGUCCAGCAUAAAUUUUAAACCUUAGGUGUUAAAAUAUUAUUCUUUAAAAGAAUUCUUUUUCAUCUAAUGCAUCACCAUAUUUACUGAAUUUCCCUUAAUAUGCGCUCACUUAGGUUAUUGAUCCUCUUUCUUCACGGGACCUGAUGAGUAAAGAAGAUCUGUUCGUGUAUCUAAAGCUC